CAAGUCGAGCGAGAUUUGACAGCGUAUCGUCAGAUCUAGCGGCAGACGGGUGAGUAAUACUUGGACAAUCUACCUUCGAGAGAGGGACAACCUGCCGAAAGGCGGGCUGAUACCUCAUAAGACCACAGGAUCGCAUGAUCAAGGGGUCAAAGCUCCGCAAGGGGCACUUGAAGAGGAGUCCGAGUCCUAUCAUGGUAGUUGGCGGGGUAAUGGCCCACCAAGCCGUUGACGGGUAGCCGGCCUGAAAGGGCAAACGGCCACACUGGCACUGAGACACGGGCCAGACUCCUACGGGAGGCAGCAGUGGGGAAUUUUGGACAAUGGGGGCAACCCUGAUCCAGCGACGCCGCGUGAAGGAUGAAGGUCUUCGGAUUGUAAACUUCUUUUGGAGGGGAUGAAUGACUUGGUGAAUAGCCAAGAGUGACAGUACUCUCUGAAUAAGCCACGGCUAACUACGUGCCAGCAGCCGCGGUAAUACGUAGGUGGCAAGCGUUACUCGGAAUCACUAGGCGUAAAGCGCAGGUAGGCGGUUUGAUAAGUCUGUUGUGAAAGCUCCCGGCUCAACUGGGAGAGGCCAACGGAAACUAUCAGGCUAGAGUGUGGUAGAGGUAGCUGGAAUUCCCGGUGUAGCGGUGAAAUGCGUAGAUAUCGGGAGGAAUACCUAUGGCGAAAGCAGGCUACUGGACCAUCACUGACGCUGAUCUGCGAAAGCUAGGGGAGCAAACAGGAUUAGAUACCCUGGUAGUCCUAGCCCUAAACGAUGCUCAUUAGGUGUGGUAGGUAUCGACCCCUUCCGCGCCGAAGCUAACGCAUUAAAUGAGCCGCCUGGGGAGUACGGCCGCAGGGUUGAAACUCAAAGGAAUUGACGGGGGGCCCGCACAAGCGGUGGAGCAUGUGGUUUAAUUCGAC
rnacentral:rRNA from 1 species